UUUACACAGAGUGAAGAUUUUAUCAUCAUCAGGAUUUCUGUCCCAUGUAUUCACUGGAGUAGAGCACUUCACCUCCUUUUCCUCGUGUGUCAGGAACUCUGGAGUUUCCUCUCCGUCGAUGACAAACCCACAGAGCAGGACAUCCACUCAGACUCCGAGGGAGACACAAUCAGCCACGAGGACACAUCUACAACCCCUUCAGAACCUGAGAAAAAAGGUGACUGACGGCUCAGGAAGCCACCCAUGUGACUGACAGCUAACGUUUAUCUGUCCUCCUCCUGCUCCAGUUAAAGAGAGAACAGGAGUGGAUCCCACCACUGAGAGAGAGAGAGAGAGAGAGAGAGAGAGAGAGCAAGACAGAGAUAGAGAGAGAGAGACAGAGAGAGAGAUAUAUAUAGAGAGAGAGACAGAGAGAGAGAGAGACAGAGAGAGAGAGAGAGAGACAGAGAUAUAUAUAUAUAUAUAUAUAUAUAUAUAGAGAGAGAGAGAGAGAGAGAGAGAGAGACAGAGAGAGAGAGAGAGAGAGAGACAGAGAGAGAGACAGACAGAGAGAGAGAGAGACAGAGAGAGAGAGAGACAGAGAGAGAGAGAGAUACCACAGUUAGAUCCAUCACGAGCGUUUCAUUUGUUAAAUUAAAUGAUGCACUAAGCGUUACCUCUCACUGUGAGGGACACCGUGGCCUUGUCGUACCAGUUAUCACUGCUCACAUGGCACACGUAUUCUCCUCUAUCUGCUAGCGUCAGGUUCUCCAGCUUCAGAGAGACAUCUCCUUUCUCCAGUUCUCCUAACAGGAACACUCUGCCCUGGUACUGAACAUCUACAGGACUCUUCUGGAUCUGUGUGUUCUUGUAGGACAGGAUCGGGGUGUUUUGCAUUUUGGGACGGUACCAGCGCACUUCCAGGUUUCGAGCAUCCAUGUUGUUUACAAGAGCACAGUGUAGAGACACAGCGGAACCAAGGAACCCUGAGGCUGGAGACUGAACCUCCACUGAAAAUGAUCCUGAAGGAGAAUUUGGGCAGUUGUAUAAAAAACAAUUCCUGAUGUGACCUUAAGUAAGAAAUAAAAAUCACACUCACCAGAAGAGGUUUGGUGACUGAGAGAUGGAAGAAGAAACAACCAAGCCCAUCUCAGUUCUACAGAUGUUAAUAAGAAACGGCCUUUUAUGUUUGAAAUAAUGUCAUUUAUUGAUUGGCUACAUUUAAAAUUAAAUAUAAUUGAGCUGUACUUUGAUCAAUCAACAAAUGUAAGGUUUUUUUUCUGCAUUAGUAACCGGUUUUUAUACAUUUUACAAUCUUCUGUCCCUUUCCACCUUCGGCUUUACACAUUACAUUACAUUUACAUAUUUUUAGCACUAUUUUGCUGUCUAAUUAAUGUCUAAUUAAUGCCAAGUAAAUCAUUUUGAUAUAGAUUUUGUUGUUGCUGGUUCACACACUGGAUUGAAAGGCUGAUUUGGAAUUUUAACUUUUAUUACUAUCAAGUUUUCAAUAAUCCACUGAAGGGAAUUAAAGUGAUCAACAUUAAAUAAUAGCUAAAUAUUUGAGAUAUCGUCACAUUUCUGUUCAGUAUCAUUAUUAAUAAAUGAAAUAUCUGUAUGUUCUGUGGCACUAACACGCCAUGAUGAGGAGAAAAAAGCAGCUCUUAGUGGGCUCUUACCUGAAAUCAUGGCAUCAGAAAAACACCAAUUUCAUUCAGUCCAGUGAAUCAGAUUAGUGAGAAUAAGAUCUCUCAGAAACGACAUACACGCUGAAGCAAUCCCAUGAGGAGUCACAUGCAGGCACAAAGCUAGUAAAAGAUUAACUUGUUCUUGUUUUCAGAUGGAGAUGUAGGAUUGUCAGAGCUGCAGUUUGAACCAGUCUGUGUUUCGCUCCAUUAAUGAGAUCGGAUUAAAGAUCGGAUAUUGGUGUCAGUGUUUACGGUGAGAAACUGCCUUUUCCUUAGUGUUAAUAACAGAACCGUGUAUUAAUGACCUCAACGCUAUUCUGUUAUUCUUAAUGGUCAGAAGGUGCUGAUUAGUUUCCAAUCAAUCAGCUCUGAUCGUUAGGACGUCAGUGAUUGGACAAGAAAUCUUAACGCAUGAUGUCACUACUUGGUGCUCUUGCGGUUGGCAUGGUGAGGGUCGUCGCCGAGGACGCUGGUGUCGACGCGGGACAGCGUGCACAUGCUGCUGUGAUUACGUGGGUGGAGUCGCGCUGUACGCAGUUCCAACUCAUCAUAAGUCGAUACACGGAUGAAAGGACACCACCGGA